rnacentral:rRNA from 1 species
AACGAACGCUGGCGGCAUGCCUAACACAUGCAAGUCGAACGAGACCUUCGGGUCUAGUGGCGCACGGGUGCGUAACGCGUGGGAACCUGCCCUUAGGUUCGGAAUAACUCCCCGAAAGGGGUGCUAAUACCGGAUAAUGUCUUCGGACCAAAGAUUUAUCGCCUUUGGAUGGGCCCGCGUUGGAUUAGCUAGUUGGUAGGGUAAAAGCCUACCAAGGCGACGAUCCAUAGCUGGUCUGAGAGGAUGAUCAGCCACACUGGGACUGAGACACGGCCCAGACUCCUACGGGAGGCAGCAGUGGGGAAUAUUGGACAAGGGGCGAAAGCCUGAUCCAGCAAUGCCGCGUGAGUGAUGAAGGCCUUAGGGUUGUAAAGCUCUUUUACCCGGGAUGAUAAUGACAGUACCGGGAGAAUAAGCGCCGGCUAACUCCGUG